CGAAGGGGGCGAGCGUUGUUCGGAUUUACUGGGCGUAAAGGGCGCGCAGGCGGCAGACCAAGUCAGGCGUGAAAGCCCCGGGCUUAACCUGGGAGCUGCGUCUGGGACUGGUUUGCUAGAGAUCGGGAGAGGAGAGUGGAAUUCCCAGUGUAGAGGUGAAAUUCGUAGAUAUUGGGAAGAACACCGGUGGCGAAGGCGGCUCUCUGGACCGAUACUGACGCUGAGGCGCGAAAGCGUGGGGAGCAAACAGGAUUAGAUACCCUGGUAGUCCACGCUGUAAACGAUGUGUGCUAGACGUUGGGGAGCCUAGCUCUUCGGUGUCGCAGCUAACGCGGUAAGCACACCGCCUGGGGAGUACGGCCGCAAGGUUA
rnacentral:rRNA from 1 species